GACGAGCGCUGGCGGCGUGCUUAACACAUGCAAGUCGAACGGAAAGGCCCUGCUUUUGUGGGUUUCUCGAUUGGCGCACGGGUGAGUAACACGUGAGUAACCUGCCCUUGACUUUGGGAUAACUUCAGGAAACUGCGGCUAAUACCGGAUAUGAUCUCCUGCUGCAUGGUGGUGGUUGGAAAGUUUCGGCGGUUGUGGAUGGACUCGCGGCUUCUCCGCUUGUUGGUGGGGUAGUGGCUUACCAAGGCUUUGACGGGUAGCCUGCCUGAGAGGGUUACCGGCGACAUGGGGACUGAGAUACGGAGCAGAAGGCUACGGGAGGCAGUAGGGGGGAAUAUUGCAGAAUGGGCGGAAGUCUGAUGCAGCAAUGUCGCGUGCGGGAUGACGGGCUUCGGGUUGUAAACAGAUGUGGAAGGUGACGAAGAGUGAGUGACGGUAAUGGGUAAAGAAGCAACGGCUAACUACGUG
rnacentral:rRNA from 1 species